rnacentral:rRNA from 1 species
CAAUAAAAAAGGGAUAAAAUGGAUAGGUCUCAGUACUUGGAUAACUGCGCCAUUCCUUAGGAGGUAAUACUGCUAAAAACUGCGACUCACGGAMCAGUGYUUUUAUUAGAUCAAAACCAAACGRYCUCGCGUCGUCCCCCUGGUGAUUCUGAAUAAYUUUGGGCUGAUCGCAUGGYCACGAUCCGGCGACGUAUCCUUUUAAGGUGUGCCCUAUCAACUGUCGACUGUGGCAUAYACUCCCACAGUGGUYUUGACGGGWAACGGGMAAUUAGGGYUCWAUUCCGGAGAGGGAGCCUGAKAAACGGCUACCACUUUACSGAAGGAGCUUGGMGMAAAUUA